rnacentral:tRNA from 1 species
CAAAGAGUAGUUUAGCAAGAAUCCUAGCUUUGGGAGCUAGGGGCAGGGGUUAAAGUCCCUUUUCUUUGA